rnacentral:rRNA from 1 species
UACAGAGGGUGCGAGCGUUAAUCGGAAUUACUGGGCGUAAAGCGCACGUAGGCGGCCAGAUAGGUCUGCUGUGAAAACUCGAGGCUCAACCUCGAGAUGUCGGCGGAAACCAUUUGGCUAGAGUCCGGAAGAGGAAAGUGGAAUUCCUGGUGUAGCGGUGAAAUGCGCAGAUAUCAGGAAGAACACCCGUGGCGAAGGCGGCUUUCUGGGACGGUACUGACGCUGAGACGCGAAAGCGUGGGGAGCGAACAGG